ACGGGAGGCAGCAGUGAGGAAUAUUGGUCAAUGGGCGUAAGCCUGAACCAGCCAAGUAGCGUGAGGGAUGACUGCCCUACGGGUUGUAAACCUCUUUUGUUUGGGAAUAAAGUAGACUACGUGUAGUCUUUUGCAUGUACCUUUCGAAUAAGCAUCGGCUAAUUCCGUGCCAGCAGCCGCGGUAAUACGGAAGAUGCGAGCGUUAUCCGGAUUUAUUGGGUUUAAAGGGAGCGUAGGCGGCCUGUUAAGUCUGCGGUCAAAUGUCAGGGCCCAACCUUGGCAUGCCGUGGAUACUGGCGGGCUUGAGUGCACACAAGGAAGGUGGAAUUCGUCGUGUAGCGGUGAAAUGCUUAGAUAUGACGAAGGACUCCGAUUGCGUAGGCAGCUUACCAGGCCGUAAAUGACGCUCAUGCACGAAAGUGCGGGGAUCGAACAGGAUUAGAUACCCUGGUA
rnacentral:rRNA from 1 species